rnacentral:rRNA from 1 species
AACGAACGCUGGCGGCAUGCCUAACACAUGCAAGUCGAACGAGACCUUCGGGUCUAGUGGCGCACGGGUGCGUAACGCGUGGGAAUCUGCCCUUGGGUUCGGAAUAACUCAGAGAAAUUUGAGCUAAUACCGAAUGAUGUCGCAAGACCAAAGAUUUAUCGCCCAAGGAUGAGCCCGCGUAGGAUUAGCUUGUUGGUGAGGUAAAAGCUCACCAAGGCGACGAUCCUUAGCUGGUCUGAGAGGAUGAUCAGCCACACUGGGACUGAGACACGGCCCAGACUCCUACGGGAGGCAGCAGUGGGGAAUAUUGGACAAUGGGCGCAAGCCUGAUCCAGCAAUGCCGCGUGUGUGAAGAAGGCCUGCGGGUUGUAAAGCACUUUUGUUCGGGAAGAAAUCAUGUCGGUUAAUACCCGAUGUGGAUGACGGUACCGAAAGAAUAAGCACCGGCUAACUUCGUGCCAGCAGCCGCGGU